GAUGAAGAACGCAGCGAAUUGCGAUAAGUAAUGUGAAUUGCAGAUUUUCAGUGAAUCAUCGAAUCUUUGAACGCAUCUUGCGCUCCUUGGUAUUCUGAGGAGCAUGCCUGUUUGAGUGUCAUUAAAUUCUCAACUACACUGACUUUGAAUUGGUGUGGCUUGGAUUUGGGGGGAAAAUUGUUGUGGGCUUUUUGUAUAGUCUGCUCCCCUGAAAUUGAUUAGCGGUACCUUUGUGGAACUGUCUACAGGUGUGAUAAUUAUCUACAUCUUAGACAUCUGCUGGAAUGCUGCUUUCUAAACCUUACUUGUAUUGACAAUCUUGACCUCAAAUCAGGUAGGACUACCCGCUGAACUUAAGCAUAUCAAUAAGCGGAGGA
rnacentral:misc_RNA from 1 species